rnacentral:misc_RNA from 1 species
UGUCACUGUGCAAAUGCACUCGUAAACCCGGCGCGAGGUCAACGCACCCCCUCUCCGCGCGUCCACGACGCCCGCGCACCCCGUCCCUAUAAAACCUUAUAUAACUACGUUUUGAUAUCCUGAGCCCUGAUGACCCAUUUGAAAGAGCGUGCAAAUCGAUUACCCUCGCGUCACUAUCUCGCGUUCUUCUUCGGGCUCUGAAACUUCCAACAAUGCUCAGUUUUCAAUUAUUAAAUUUAUGUAUUAAUGAUAUAGUUACUUAUAAUAAAUGAUAUUAUAAUUAUUUAUAUAA